rnacentral:rRNA from 1 species
CCUACGGGAGGCAGCAGUGGGGAAUUUUGGACAAUGGGCGAAAGCCUGAUCCAGCAAUGCCGCGUGCAGGAUGAAGGCCUUCGGGUUGUAAACUGCUUUUGUACGGAACGAAAAGCCUCGGGAUAAUACCCUGGGGUCAUGACGGUACCGUAAGAAUAAGCACCGGCUAACUACGUGCCAGCAGCCGCGGUAAUACGUAGGGUGCAAGCGUUAAUCGGAAUUACUGGGCGUAAAGCGUGCGCAGGCGGUUAUAUAAGACAGAUGUGAAAUCCCCGGGCUCAACCUGGGAACUGCAUUUGUGACUGUAUAGCUAGAGUACGGUAGAGGGGGAUGGAAUUCCGCGUGUAGCAGUGAAAUGCGUAGAUAUGCGGAGGAACACCGAUGGCGAAGGCAAUCCCCUGGACCUGUACUGACGCUCAUGCACGAAAGCGUGGGGAGCA